AACUUUCAGCAACGGAUCUCUUGGCUCUCCCAUCGAUGAAGAACGCAGCGAAUUGCGAUAACUAAUGUGAAUUGCAGAAUCCAGUGAAUCAUCGAGUCUUUGAACGCACCUUGCGCCCUUUGGUAUUCCGAAGGGCAUGCCUGUUUGAGUGUCUUUAAUAUCUAUCAACCAUUUUGUGUGCUUG
rnacentral:rRNA from 1 species